UAGGCAAACUGUCCGAAAGGGCAGGACGCAAAGCUAAGGUGUCUAAGCAAUUUUGUAUGACCGACCGGCUGC
rnacentral:ncRNA from 1 species